rnacentral:sRNA from 15 species
GCAAGACGCGCAUUUGUUAUCAUCCUUAGGUUAUACAGAUGUUUUUUUGGCCACAUAAUAGUGGCCUUUU